CAUGGCCGUGGCAUUUCUGGUCUUGUAAACACUGGCCUCUUUGGGGCCUUUCCCCCCUAAGGCCUCCCCCCUCCCUUUAUUGGGGGUGGGGGCUCCGCAGUGCAGCCCCUAGUCCCAGCGGAAGCGGCGGAAAUGAAAGCAGAGAUGCUGAGCAGGUCGUAAGAAUCGAAGAGGAAAUUAAACGUCAUAAAGAAAAGUCCAUUUUCAGCUUAAAUGUAUGAACAUUACGAUUUCCUUCAGAAAACAAUGAAGCGCACUCGAAAACCAGGCUGGGUUCUUCUCAUCCCCAAAGAACCUGCCUCACUGCCUUGGGGCAGAAGGAAGCGUUCCCCAACAUAGAUGAGAAACAAGUACCACCAAGGGGAGACUAGGAGGGCGAGGAGAACCCCCUGAAAUCGUGGACUCCGUGACUUCCUCGGACAUCGGAAGCAUAGGGCUGGAAAUGGAGCCGCCGGCAGCUCCCUCCCGUCGCUGGUCUCACUUUUAUGGUGGCCCCGGAAUAAACUUUGGUGGUCAAAUUCAAGUGCUAAGGCUGCACAGCUGUCUCCUCACAGGAAGGCGGCACCCCCCCCCCAAACACACACACUUUUACACGGGGUGUUCACAGCUAUUUACGUCUUAGGCUAUUGAUCCUUAACUCACCCCACCUCUCCCCCCCCACACACACUAGUCUGCCCCCACCCUACUUCUCCAGCCUAGGGGCCCUAGGAUUGAGAAAGAAGUGCGACUAGGGGAAGGAGGGAGAGGCAUAGCCUUGACCUAUGGGGACAACUCCCUUUGUCUCUCCCAAAUUCCAUAUUUCUAGAAAAGAGGGGUGUCUUUACUUCUUUUUCCUACUCGAGGUCCUGUCCCCAAAUGGAGAUCCUCUGGCCUCCCAUAGACAACAGCGCAGUGGGGUCCUAGUGGACCCUAUAAAAGCUACAAUCCAUACUUCUCUAACACGAUAAUUAAAAACUCUGGUCCAAAUCUCCCUAUAAACGGGGAAAAGCGGAAAGCAGACAACAAUAUUUUGGCUAGCUUCUGGGCUGUCUCUGACUUCUUUCUUCUGAGGACUCCUUCGUAUUACCAAUUCUAUUAUAUAUUCUAAUUUCUAUAUACACAAAUGUGUAUACAUAUAUUUUCACUAAAUAUGAAAAUUUCCCCUUUCCGAAUAUAUUAGGAACUAAAGAAAAAUGGAAUGAAAGGAACGUAGGGGAAUGGGAAAGGGGUUGAGGGCAGUUGAGAUUCUGGAUCUUGAGUUAUCCCUGGCUUAGAAAGCUUAUUAGGAUAUUAACAAAAACAAUAGAAUGCUGGUGUCCGCUGCAGUUUGUCCAGCCGCAAGGCUAGGACGGAGACCACCGCUGCUUCCAGAUGUUGUCUUUAAUGGAAUACGGGUUUUUUUUAGCACCCACAGGCAGCAGCAGCAGUCGGGCGCCAAAGAGUAUAUAUAUGAAGAAGAUUUAGUUUGGGUGUAGAAGACUGGGGUAAAGGGUCCCUAGACGGAGGUUAAAGGAAUUCCUCUGGCUAUGGUCCCCAAUAUUUCCUGGAUGGACAAAAUAAAACAAAACCUUGAAAAAUGAAAUAAAAAUGAAAACAGAAGUUGCCUAGAUAGAAACUCCAGAUAAAAAGGACCACAGCCCGGCCAGCUUUUCCCCCAGAAAGGGAAGAUAGUAAACCUCCCCAGCAGUUCUGAAUUAAUUUUAGAGGUAUUGCCAUCUCGUUUCUUUAGAUGAAAAAUGGAGAACACUGUUGGAAAAGCCUCAUUUACCAUGCCCUUGUAGUCCCAAGCCGUGUUCUCUCCUCCCCACCAAGUGCACUGCAGAC